UUUUACAUUAAAAAUUUUACAUCCUUUUAUACGAAGUUAUAAAUAUUUUAAAAAUAUAAAAACAUGUUGUGGAUUGACAUGUGGUAUACUUACAAAGUCAUAUGAACCAAAAUCAAAGUGUUUUUUUUAAUAUUAAAAUUGUUGGAUUUUUUCAUAAAGUUCUUGAUUUAUUUGAAACUUUUACAUAUUCGUACUCAAAAUUCAUUGUAGUGACUGUGAACACAAAUCAGAGUCAAUUGAACACACAACAUACCAUCACCAUCUUCUUCAUUUCUCCAUCUUUAUCAUUUUAAAUACCGUCAAUUUUUUCAUUUCUCCAUCUUGUUCUUU
rnacentral:lncRNA from 1 species